GACGUAGGGCGCGAGCGUUGUCCGGAUUUAUUGGGCGUAAAGAGCUCGUAGGCGGCUUGUUGCGUCGGCUGUGAAAACCCAUGGCUCAACCGUGGGCUUGCGGCCGAUACGGGCAGGCUAGAGUUCGGUAGGGGAGACUGGAAUUCCCGGUGUAGCGGUGAAAUGCGCAGAUAUCAGGAGGAACACCGGUGGCGAAGGCGGGUCUCUGGGCAGUAACUGACGCUGAGGAGCGAAAGCGUGGGGAGCGAACAGG
rnacentral:rRNA from 1 species